rnacentral:snRNA from 1 species
AUACUUACCUGACGCGAGAGGCACCUUGAUCAACUAGGAGGUCCUCUCAGGAUGAGGCCCUUUCAUUGCACUUCGACUGGGUUGACUCCUGCGAUUACCCCUAAUGUGGGUAACUCGAGCGUAUAAUUUCUGGUAGUGGGGACCUGCGUUCGCCUCGUCCCCUU